GACGAAGGGGGCUAGCGUUGUUCGGAAUUACUGGGCGUAAAGCGCGUGUAGGCGGCUAUGUAAGUCGGGCGUGAAAUCCCACGGCUCAACCGUGGAAGUGCACUCGAAACUGCAUAGCUAGAGUCCUGGAGAGGAAGGUGGAAUGCUUGGUGUAGAGGUGAAAUUCGUAGAUAUCAAGCGGAACACCGGUGGCGAAGGCGGCCUUCUGGACAGUGACUGACGCUGAGACGCGAAAGCGUGGGGAGCAAACAGG
rnacentral:rRNA from 1 species